rnacentral:misc_RNA from 1 species
AGCAGCCGCGGUAAUUCCAGCUCCAAUAGCGUAUAUUAAAGUUGUUGCAGUUAAAAAGCUCGUAGUUGAAUUUCGGGAUUGACACAUCGGUCGUGCCUUAAGGGGUAUGAACUGGUGUAGUCAACUUCUCACCUUCUGGAGAACCGCGAUGCCCUUAAUUGGGUGUCGCGGGGAACCAGGACCUUUACUUUGAAAAAAUUAGAGUGUUUAAAGCAGGCAUUUUGCUUGAAUACAUUAGCAUGGAAUAAUAAAAUAGGACGGCAUGAUUCUAUUUUGUUGGUUUCUAGGAUCACCGUAAUGAUUAAUAGGGAUAGUUGGGGGCAUUAGUAUUCAAUUGUCAGAGGUGAAAUUCUUGGAUUUAUUGAAGACUAACUACUGCGAAAGCAUUUGCCAAGGAUGUUUUCAUUAAUCAAGAACGAAAGUUAGGGGAUCGAAGGCGAUCAGAUACCGUCGUAGUCUUAACCAUAAACUAUGCCGACUAGGAAUCAGACGAUGUUAAUUUUUUAAUGACUCGUUUGGC